ensembl:lncRNA
GAGACGGUGGUGUUUCCUCAGAAGAACUAGCAGAGUCACAAAGAGCACGAGUCCUUCUCACCACCUUGACUUGCUGACUGAUGCUCGUCUGCACUGCACAGAGGAAAUCAACUGACCGAGGAGUGUUUCUGAGUGAGGGAGAGAGGAGUCAUCAUCCAGGAGCAGCACUGAAUGAUCACCACACAUCAGCAUGUUCCUGCAACAUUCAGCAUCUGAUCUGUCAUCUGUGUGCUUCUGCUUUUGUGUCAAAUGUCAAACAGCUGGAGAGGAAACUACACCAGUGUACUGGGAUGUUUCAGCAACACGUGCCAGAUGCUGUUCCUUCAUGGUGACAUCACCAGAGACAGCCCCGCCCACCUCAGGACCUCGCCAUUGAUCAUGAUGAUUAUAAUGAUGACAGCGAGCGGAACUAAGACUGUAAAAAUCCACGACCAGAAUGUUUAGAUGCUUUCUAAUUAUUAAUGAAUACUGAGAGCCUCUUUCUGUGUUUUGUCUGUUUUGUUUUGUUUUGUUUUUUACCUCAUUUGUUACUAACAAAGUUCACCAAACUCACACAGUUUACAUUCUGUAUGUUUCCAUCUUUACCAGCCACAGUCUACCUGCAUUUAGAAAACAAACCUUAGAAAUCGUCGUUUUUCUCUUUUGUAAUUUUGUAAUUCAGUGAAUAUACUGCGCUGCUUCCUUUUAUUGCGUUACACAUUGCUUUAAGUUUUUCAGUGUCCAGUUAUUUUUUACUGCUGUUUGAAUUCAUUGUAUGUUUGACCCUGUAGACUGUUUAAUGGACUGCUUGUCUUCCUGUUUGUAACCGCCGCCUGUUUUUGACUAAAGAUUUGGAUUUCUGACUUUAACACA